GAUGAACGCUGGCGGCGUGCCUAAUACAUGCAAGUCGAGCGAACGGACGAGAAGCUUGCUUCUCUGAUGUUAGCGGCGGACGGGUGAGUAACACGUGGAUAACCUACCUAUAAGACUGGGAUAACUUCGGGAAACCGGAGCUAAUACCGGAUGAUAUUUUGAACCGCAUGGUUCAAUAGUGAAAGACGGUCUUGCUGUCACUUAUAGAUGGAUCCGCGCUGCAUUAGCUAGUUGGUAAGGUAACGGCUUACCGAGGCAACGAUGCGUAGCCGACCUGAGAGGGUGAUCGGCCACACUGGAACUGAGACACGGUCCAGACUCCUACGGGAGGCAGCAGUAGGGAAUCUUCCGCAAUGGGCGAAAGCCUGACGGAGCAACGCCGCGUGAGUGAUGAAGGUCUUCGGAUCGUAAAACUCUGUUAUUAGGGAAGAACAUAUGUGUAAGUAACUAUGCACAUCUUGACGGUACCUAAUCAGAAAGCCACGGCUAACUACGUG
rnacentral:rRNA from 1 species